AACUAGGGCUACGUUGUAGCACUAACGGGCCCGAGCACAGGCAAUUUCUAGUCUGUUGCGGUCGAUGAAGAGAGAACGUUCGAUGACCAAGCGCUAGUCUCCGCAUUGCAUGCGUUUGCGCUCUGCGGCAAGGAUGAUCGCUCCACUUCCUGUAGCCAGCCGCUGGUGCUGAACUAGAGAUGAGGAACUGCAGCACCUGAUGUUCUCAGCAGCAACAUGGUGGAGAUCUGCAGCUUCAUGCUGGUCAACAUGUGGACGAUGUCAUCAUCAUCAGAAGCUACACAACACUGUGAAAUUACUCUUAUAUAAAGAUGGCCUGCAACUGUUUAGUGGUGGCAGUCAUUUCUAAGUGUCAUGGAUAAGAAUUAAUUUCUAUCUUCAUUAUGAUGAGGAACUGCAGCACCUGACGUCGUCAGCAGCAACAUGGUGGUCAACACGUGGACGACUGCAUCAUCAUCAGAAGCUACACAACACUUCUAAAUUCCUCCCUUAAAUAAAGAUGGCCUGCAACUGUUUGGUGGUGGCAGUCAUUGCUAAGUGGCAUGGAUAAGAAUUCAUUUCUAUCUUCAUUAUGGUUGGUUAAAAUAAUAAAAACUUAUAACAACAA